AUAGGGAAUUCAAUAAAUAAAACAAAAGUAAGGGGGAACACAAAGGCUGUUUUUUUUUUGUGUUUGUUUGUUUGUUUUUGUUUUUGUUUUUUUUUGUUUUUUUGGCAUGGGAGCUGAACCCGCAGCAGCCAGAAAUACAGCUUGAGUGAACCCGAAAUAAAAUGAACAAUGAAGUAAAAUAAAAUAUGAAUAGAGACGGGACUAUCAUCCAUCUGUGAAUGAAAACAGUGUGUGGCGGUAUGUGCCUGGUGCGGAAUACGCCAAAAUCCCAAAGAAGAAGAAGAAGAAGAAGAAGAAGAAGAAGCAUCCAGAGGCACUUUGGCGUUAACAUAUGCGAUCUGUACCCGGAUGUUGUCAACUUAUGGGACACAAACCUACCUGAUACCUUGCUGAAGUGGCUGGGCACUUCUACACUUCUUACUUCUACAGCACUUCUCAAAAUCAACCUAAAGAUUCAGCAAGUGCAUAAUGCCACGAUCAAAGGAAAUUCCAGAAGAUGUAAAAGAAAAGAUCAUUUUUUACCAUAAGUCUGGUAAGGGUUACAAAGCUAUUUCUAAAAUUAUGGGACUGCAUCGAUCCACUGUCAGAACUAUAAUUUCCAAAUGGAAAACACUUGGAACAGUGAUGAAUCUUCCCAGGAGUGGUCGACCCACAAAAAUUUCACCACGGACACAGCGGAAAAUCAUCCAGGAAGUCACAAAGAAACCCGAAAUAACGUCCAAAGAACUGCAGGCUUCUCUUGCUUUAGCUAAAAUCAGAGUUCAUGACUCUACAAUCAGACGGAGACUGGGCCAAAUUAGGAAACGCGAGAUAGUGUCAAAACGAAAAACACUGCAGAAAAAGAAAAUAAAUGCUUGUGUCUUGUUUGAAAAUAAUCUACAGGAAGAUUCCCAAGUUUAUGAGGAAAAUCUUUUAAAAACAGAAGUGGCAGAAGUGGACGUUUUUAUUUGAUAAGAGUCCCAUCAUGUCCAGUGUAAAACACACAGGCCUGCAACAAUCCACAGUAAAAAAAUAAUAAUAAUUGUAUCUGUAUUUACUUCUGGUGACAUAUUUUUUACAUUUUGUUGUGUCAGGUAUGAGUAGAACAGUACCUUAAUCCACUGUAUAAAGCUUGACAGAAAAAUAAGAAAAAUAUUCAUCUAUAUUACUGUUUCUAUGCAAAGGAAAUAAAAAAAGGCAAAAAAAAAAA